AUAUUAUUAAGCGGAGGAAAAGAAACUAACAAGGAUUCCCCUAGUAACGGCGAGUGAAGCGGGAAUAGCUCAAUUUUAAAAUCGGCUGCCGUUAGGUAGCUGAGUUGUAAUCUAAAGACGUGGCGUCAGUGGCUGAUCUGGGUAUAAGUCCUUUGGAAAAGGGUAUCAUAGAGGGUGACAAUCCCGUCUGUGACCCAGAAUCACUACGUACGACACACAGUCUAAGAGUCGGGUUGUUUGGGAUUGCAGCCCUAAAUGGGUGGUAAACUUCAUCUAAAGCUAAAUAUUGGCGGGAGACCGAUAGCGCACAAGUA
rnacentral:rRNA from 1 species